AGUACAGGACCCCACAGCAUUGAAUGGCAGAACCCACAUUCAAGCUGUGUCUUCCCUCUCCCAUUAAACUGCUCUGGAAAUGUGCCCACAAACACACUCAGAAGUGUGUUACAUAGGUGAUUCUAAAGCCAGUAAAGUUGAUGAGAUUAAUCGUUCCAUGAAGAUAAUGUAGAGUGAGUGUAUGUAUGCCUAGUUUCCUUGUUUGUGGGCCCCUGUGAAUAGAAACCACUCACUUAUCUCCUGUUACAAAAGCAGAGACCAGGGUGGUAUACCAUCAUAUCCUGUACUGGCUGGUUUUGUGUGUCAACUUGACACAAGCUGGAGUUAUCACAGAGAAAGGAGCCUCCCUUGAGGAGAUGCCGCCAUGAGAUCCAGCUGUAAGGCAUUUUCUCCAUUAGUGAUCAAGGGUGGAAGUGCUCAUUGUGGGUGCUGCUGUCUCUAGGCUGGUAGUCUUUAGUUCUAUAAGAAAGCAAGUCAGAGAAGCGAGCCAGUAAGUAACAUCUCCCCAUGGCCUCUGCAUCAGCUCCUGCUUCCUGACCUGCUUGAGUUCAGUCCUGGCUUCCUUUGGUGAUGAACACAAUGUGGAAGUAUAAUCUGAAUAAACCCUUUCCUCCCCAACUUGCUUCUUGCUCAUGAUGUUUGUGCAGGAAUAAAAAAUCUAAGACAUA